GCGGACAUAGCUCAGUUGGGAGAGCGUCAGACUGAAGUCAACUUCAUUCACUCAAUCUGAAGGUCGUGUGUUCAAUCCACACUGGCCGCA
rnacentral:tRNA from 1 species